rnacentral:lncRNA from 1 species
UGCCAUCGCCGCCACCGCCGCCGGACGUCCCAUCCGCGUCCAUCACCGCCCAUCCACUUGCGCUGCCAGACCUACAAACAAACAAGAGAAGUAGCAGAAACAAGCAGUAGCAAGUGGGGGGAUUUUGUAAUGAAAAAGGCUAUAUAAAAAGCCAUUUUUUUUGUAAUGAAGGGGGGGGGGACAAAUGUAAAGAAAAAAUAUAUUGAGAAAUCAAUACAAGAAUCGCAAAAAUUUAAAAAAAGGUGUUCUUCCUUUUUAUUCUUGUUUUCGAGUUUGUUUUUUUCUUUCUUUUUUUUUUUCAAUCAUAUAUAUACAUAUAUAUAAUAGUUUAUAUUUACGGAAAAUACAAAAAAAAGUGAAUUUUUACCUUUUUGAAUUUUUCGGCCACCGGGAGCGACGGCGUCGACGGCGGAGCUUCACCGGACCCUUGGCUGGAUUUUUGGAGAAGAGAGGGGAUUUUGAGAGAAAAAUCAAUUUUUUUUAAGAGAAAGGGCAGAAAAUGAAGUUUAAAACUUUUUUUUAAUUUAUAAAGGUAUUGGAAACGACGCCGUUUUGCCCUUAGGGGUCAGGUGCCAAAACGACGUCGUUUUGGCCCUGACCCGCGCGGUGACCCGACCCUGGGGGAGGAUCCGCGUGUUUUCUAAAAGGGGGAUAUUUGUGCGCGCAGUCCCCCUGUUUUUUCAGCGCAUUACAGCUUGGUCCUAUUUCAUUUUCUUUUAUUUUGGAUCUAGCCUUGAAGUUUUACUUUUGUUUCAUUUUAGUCCACUGAAGUGCUGCAUUUUAGAACUAUGGUUUAUUUAUUGUUUUAGUCCUUCCCUUUUUGCGCGUGUCGCAAUUGGAUCCUUCUUGUUAUUUAUUAUUUCGAAUUGGCCCUGUAUCUUCGUUCUUAUUUCGAUUUAAUCCUUUUUUAGCAUCUUUUAUUAUUUAGUCAAUUGUUUUUUAACAUUAUUACUUUUAAUAAUAAUAAUAUUAUUAUUGUUAUUAUUAUUAUUAUCAUUAUUAUAAUUGCCCUUAUAUAUAUACGUUUUUUUUUAUAUAUAUACAUAUUUUUUUUUAUAUACUUACACACAUACUUUUUGUAAUAUAUAUGUACACUUACAUAUUCUUCAUUUUUUUAAUAUGUAUUUUACAUAUGUGUUCUUUAUAUUUUAUGAUUCAUACAUAUAUAUGUAUAUGCUUACUUAUAUAUAUUCUUUAUUUAAUAUUUUUAAAAUACACAUACAUAUAUAUUAUAGUGUUAUUCACUAUUAUUGUUUCAUUUGGUGUUAAUUUAUUUAUUUAUUUACAUGCUCAUUAUUAUUUUUAUUUUAUUUAGGUGCUUUAAUUUUAUAUUUGUUUAUUUACUUUUAUUUGUUGAUUUCUUUUCAUUAUAUAUUUGUCAUCUUAUUUAUUUAUCUUUUCUUAUUUUGCUUGUGUUAUUUACAUUAUCAUUAUUAUCACUAUCUUACAUUUUACUCGGAUUUAUCAAAAACAAAAAUUUUCAAAUAAGGCAAUGUUUUGCGUUUGGGAAAUUCGAGAAAACGUGCCCUAAGGUGCUAGGUGUCGAUUGUUCUCAUUCAACCAAAUGGCUAAAUAUCCUUUUAAAAAUUUUCAAAUAAGGCAAUGUUUUGCGUUUGGGAAAUUCGAGAAAACGUGCCCUAAGGUGCUGGGUGUUGAUUUUUCUCAUUCAACCAAAUGGCUAAAUAUCCUUUUAAAAAUUUUCAAAUAAGGCAAUGUAUUGCGUUUGGGAAAUUCGAGAAAACGUGCCCUAAGGUGCUAGGUGUCGAUUUUUCUCAUUCAACCAAAUGGCUAAAUAUCCUUUUAAAAAUUUUAAAUUAAGGCAAUGUUUUGCGUUUAGGAAAUUCGAGAGAACGUGCCCUAAGGUGCUGGGUGUCGAUUUUUCUCGUUCAACCAAAUGGCUAAAUAUCCUUUUAAAAAAAUUUCGAAAUAAGGCAAUGUUUUGCAUUUGGGAAAUUCGAGAAAACGUGCCCUAAGGUGCUGGGUGUUGAUUUUUCUCGUUCAACCAAAUGGCUAAAUAUCCUUUUAAAAAUUUUAAAAUAAAGCAAUGUUUUGCGUUUGAAAUUUGAGAAAACGUGCCCUAAGGUGCUGGGUGUCGAUUUUUCUCAUUUAACCGAAUAGCCAAAUAUCCUCUUGAAUUUCAAUCCAUAUCAUCCGAGUUUUUUUUUAGGAUUGUAUUUUAAAUUUCAUUAAAGUUUUCAAUUUUUCGACACUAAGACAUUAAGUAAUCAACUAGGUACCAAUUUUGGGCGUAUCGAGUGUGCUAAUCCUUCCUCGUGCGUAACUGACUCCCGAACUCGUUUUUCUAAAUUUCGUGGACCAAACUUGUUGUUUUAAUAAAAUCAAAUCAUUUAUUAAAAACAACUACUUUUCAAGAUGACCCGAUCACACCUUAUCAAAAAGGAUUUGUGACAACUCCCAUUUUCGUUUUCAUUUUCAAAAAACCAAGUCGACCCCAUUUUCCAUCCAAAAAAAUGGUGUCAACAGCUUGGCGACUCCACUGGGGACUUUAAAUAAGAGAGUCAAGCCACGAGUUGAUUAUUUCUUGUUUUUUUGUCGAAAGUUGAAAAUGUGAUUUAAAUAUACGAUCCUCUCAUUGCAUUUCAUUUAUUUUGAGUUAUAGUUUUCAUCAUGUUUUGUAUUUUAAAUUUUUAUAUCUUUCUGCAUUGCAUUGCAUUGCAUGACCGUUGGUCACAUCUUUUUAAGUGGGAGUGAGAAGCUAGUCCUUCGUGAGGUUUUCACCUCCGUGCAGGAUAGUGGAUCACUUUCGGGAUACAUCCGUACCUAUGUCUUCGUGAGAUUUUCAUCUCCGUGCAGCCAUAGGGAAAUUUAUUCCCCUGAACCGAACUCGGUAUGUAUGAGCCUAUAAUGGGUGAAGAUCGAGGAAUCUGCUCGUUCGGGUACCUUGACUUUAGAACCAACCCUAAUAUAGUGGACUUAGGAACUUAACCUAGGUAGAGCCACUCCAAAUCCCUAGUGGUUACCUGAUUAGGUACUUUCUGUUUUCCUUGUUUGCUUCUAUUUUGUACUAACCCCUCUUGUUGUGUUUUGAUUAUGAUUGCAUUGCAUUUGCAUAUUAGGAAAGAAAUAUUGAUUCAAGUCCGAUUACUAAAUUAGAAAGCUUGUCAUGGAAUACGAAUUCCUUGAUAAAGUGGAAAAUAAUACGAUUUCCCAAAUAUAUUCUGAGAAACACAAGAAUGGCGAUGGAAGAGUUCGUGACCUUGCUCCGGGGCCUGUGGAUUCAAAGCGAUCGUUUGAGGGCCUUCGACGUUCCAACACCCUUAAAAAAGCUGACGAGCUUUAUGAAGAUGGGCAGGUGAUAGAUCGCGACCAAGAUCAAGAAAAGGAGCUAGCAAUGACCUCUAUUGGCGAGAUUACCUCAAAUGUGCAGAUGAAGAAAAAGAUCGAUGUUGUUUAUUAGAAUAUGAGGGUGAGGUCGUACAUGUAUCCGCUUUAUGUAAAGGAAUUUGCUUUCUAGAAAAGUUUUCUAAAUGUAAUUAAUCAUAAUCAACGUCUCUUUAGGCAUACAUUUCAUGCAUUGCAUCACAUUAUAAGCAUUAUCAACCAUUAAAGGACCCUAAUUAAAUAAAAUUAUUUCAGUUAUUCUGGAACAUCCUUACGGCCCAAGAAAGAAAACAAAAGCAAUGGAUCAAUGGAUAGAACGAUUGGAACAAAUGUAGAAAGAAAUGCAAGAUAAGAUGCAAGAAUAAUUGGGUGUGCUGGAAUCUCAAAGAGCCAUGAUGAGCCAAUUGACACAAUUAUUGGCUGAUAAAGGAAAAGGCCCUGCCAUAAAUUCGGGAGUUGAUCAGGAGGACCCUGUUUAUCCUCCAGGUUUUGCCCCAACGAGCACUCAGGCACAACCAGAUAUGUGUCAACAAGAAGCGCAUGUUCACACUAGACCUCAAUGCCAGGUUGAUACCUUGACACUAAUAAAUUUUUAGAUAGGCUCGGGUUCUAACCCAGGAGAUAAUCCGGCUAACUCUGUCGUUCCUGAUAAUGAUGUGGCGAAAGCAGAAAAGGCAAGAGUAGAUUUACCGAAACAACUUGAAGAUAGGUGUAGGUGGUUAGAAGAAAAGUUCAGAGCAAUGGAAAAUGCUGAUUACCGUUGCAAGAUCGAUGCUAAAGACUUGAGUUUGGUCCCUGACUUAGUUCUCCCGCAUAAGUUUAAAAUGCCCGAAUUCGAGAAAUACAACGGGACUAGCUGUCCUGAAGCCCAUAUCACCAUGUUCUGUCGGAGGAUGACGGGGUAUAUUGACAAUGAUCAAUUGUUAAUUCACUGUUUCCAGGACAGUCUGAUAGGAGCUGCUGCCAAAUGGUACAACCAGUUGAGUCGUACUCAAAUUAGUUCAUGGAAAGAUUUGACACAGGCCUUCAUGAGACAAUACAGUCACAUAUCAGACAUGACGCCCGAUAAGAUCACCCUACAAAAAAUAGAAAAGAAACAAAAUGAAAGCUUCAGGCAGUACGCCCAGAGAUGGCAAGAAGUGACAACGCAAGUCCAGCCGCCUCUUUUGGAAAAAGAAACCACAAUACUUUUUAUCAAUACUCUAAAGGCCUCGUUAAUCACCCAUAUGUUGGGAAGCGCCACAAAAAGCUUUCCAGAUAUAGUGAUGACUGGGGAAAUGAUUGAAAAUGCAGUAAGAAGUGGUAAAAUAGAUGCGGGGGAAAACUUUAAGAAAUCGACAUCGAAGAAGAAGGAGCACGAGAUAAACAAUACGAGCACGUUUAACAAGGACCAUUCUAAAUCAAUCACGGUGGGGCAAGCCAGAGCAGUAACCGCUAAUCAGCAAGGUUCUUUGAAACAGAAAUCCAAUCUAAGGCCAAAUGUAGAAAAACCCCAGUUUACACAAAUCCCAAUGACAUAUAGAGAGCUGUACCAGAACUUAUAUGACGCACAUAUGGUAUCUCCCUCUUAUCUAAAACGCAUGCAACCUCCAUAUCCUAAAUGGUACGACACAAAUGCCCAAUGCGAGUAUCAUGCGGGAAUUACGGGGCACUCGAUUGAAAAUUGUACUACAUUCAAGAAGUUAGUUGAGAGAUUUAUUAAGAUGGGGAUCGUAAAAUUUGGUGACCCGUCAGGAACAAACGUAGUAGGGGAUCCGCUACCCAAUCAUGAUUGAUAAUGGAGUGACUACAAUGCAUGAAGAAGUUGGGGAAUGUUCACAUCUGUUAUUUGAAGAAGUGACCUUGAUAGAUAUUUGCUAGGAGUUCUCUAAGCAAUAGGACUGUGGAAGAAAUCCCUGUAGUAUUUAGAGCUUACUUAGAGUAAUAUUUAGAACACACUUGUUGCUUUUAGCCUAGAGGCAAUAAGAAGUCUUUUGUGAAAUAGGCUCACGUCUGAACGUCAUUAUUUUAAUGGAAUGCAUCUUUAAGAUCUUUUGAACCAAUAUUCUUUCAUUUCUUAUGAAUGAUUAUUCUUUUAUUCUUUCAUCCAAAUCAUUCUUUCAUUCAUUCAUAAUCAUACUGUGCAGAUAAUUAUUCUUAAAUUCAUACAUUCUUUGUAUAUUCUCUUGUACCUACAAUAGGUCCCUGAAUAUCAAUGACAUGAAUGACACUGCUACAGACUUAGAGUCUCCUUUUGAGCGAGACAUGUGUUUAGAGGGAUCUCACGACUUUGAAGAUGAAAUAGAUUGUAGCCUAUCUCUAGACUUGUUGAGGAUGGUAGAAUAAGAGGAUAAACAAAUCCUACCUCUCAAUGAAUCAUUAGAAAUUGUGAGCUUGAUGAAGACUAGAAUUGACCUGACCACAGAGACGAAGCAAGACCUUGUUGAGUUACCUUUAGAGUUCAAAGAUGCCUUUGUAUGAUCAUACCAGGAUAUGCCCGAAUUAAUCGCUGAUAAUAAAAUCUACACAGCAGCAUGUUUUCAGAAAUUUGCAGUGAACGAUGCGAUUCUUCGUCAGGACAAAUGCCUCUCUCAUUGACUCAGCAUAGCUUUGCCCAUUUGAAGUCGAGCUUCCAUCUCUUCAAGUUUUGUGGGAUUUUAUCCUGAUUAAAGAGGAAAAUCAAAAGUUUUCUGUUGUAGUUUCGCCCCAGAAGGCUCUAUGAAGGAAAUUAGAUCAAAGAAGGUCCUUCGAAAGGGAUAACAAUGACUUACCUAAUCCUAUGAGUUCAGACUCGAAAGAAAAAUCAAAAAAUCAAAAAAUAAUAAAAACAAAAAAAAAACAAAAAAUUAAAAAAUCAUAAGAGAAAAAGAAAGAAGAAAAAAGAAAAGAAAAAGAAAAAGGAGAAGUCAAGGCGAAAACCCGCAAAGGGCAUUUUGACCAAAGGUGGAUCUGAGUUGAAAACCCGAAAAAGGACGACUCAAAUUUUAAGAAAAAUGGGGCAUGGACAUCACCAUUAUCGAAGAUUUUUAAUGGGCAUUGCUUCAUUUUUUUUGAGAGGCUACUUCAUGGAUCAAGGUCAUCCUAUACCGAUAUAGAAUUUCAGAGAGGAUGGUAUUGGAAAAUGCAUUGAACUUAAAUGAUAGCACGAUAACUGAGGUCUGAAAUCAAUUCAGAAGCAGACACCACGUUUUGUCACCGAAUUACCUAGAGGUGAACAAGGACUGGCAUGAGAAAUUAUCAUUUGCCCUCAUUGUUUGUCGAACAUCUGUACUGGGGCAACACCUCUCCUUUUGGUUUAUAGGGUUAAGAUAGUUUUACCUAUUAAAAUCCCCUCAUUGCUUGUUGGAGGGAUCCAAUCGCGAUAUGAUCAGUUAGCCCUAGGAAAAAGGUUAAAAGCUAUUCAUCAGGGUCGGACGUACCAUAAAUAAAUAAUAUGAGCCCAUAAUAAAUAGACUCGUCUCAGAGAAUUCCACGAGAGGGCUGGAUGUUAGAAAAGAUGCUUCCUUAACGAAAGGAUUCUAAAGGGAAAUGAAUGUCAAAUCAGGAAUGUCCCUAUGUUGUAAAGAAGACCAUUUUUAGAGGAGCACUAAUCUUAAGUGAGAUUGCCAAUCCUAUAAACUCAGAUCCAGUUAAGAAACACUUCGUUUAAAGGAGAAGGAAGGACCAAGGUGAAAACCUACAAAGGGCACUUUGAGUCAAAAAAUAAAAAAAAUAAAAAAUGAAAAAAUAAAAAUGGAGAGGCUAAGGGGAAAACCCGCAAAGGGCACCUUAGGGCAAAGGGGAUUUGAGUUGAAAACCCGAAGGGCGGCUCAAAUAUUGAUCAGAAUGGGGCAUAGAGUGAUCAGACAGGGGCAUGUGGUGAUCUUGCUAUACCUGAAAGGGUAAUGCAACAUAUUGGGGCAUCGACAGAGUCCUGUAGAUCUCCUAAACACAUGUCAAACUCAGGAAAGUCUUCAGAAAGUUUGUACAGAAAAAUUCAAGCUGCGAUAUAUGGGGCACUUAACCUUCAUACUAUUUAUAUAUUGAAUUUGUUGUUAUUCUUGGAAUACUUCAUUCUUUUUCAAGACACGUGUUCCAAUCAAUUCCUCUUUUAUUCUUGCUACCCUUGAUAAUUCAUUCAUUUAGAGCUUGCUCUCAAAUAAAUUCUAUUUCAUCCAUCGUUUUAUUAUUUUUGCAAGCAUGUUGCAUUGGAAUAAUGACUAAUGGACUAAUAAUGGAAGUUUUGCAUAUUACUCUAGAAGUUUCUAAAUAAUAUAGAAACCUGAAACAGGACUAUUUUUUAGAAAACACCAAGUUUAAAGGGCGAAAUAUCUAAUAAGGAUGAGUCUAAGUUAAAGACUAUCUUUUCGAAUUUUGUUGUCCAAACAUUGAUUGAACAAAAUGACAAGAUGUCGUGUUGGUGACAAAGCUUCAAUGAACAAACAAGCAAGGAUCACCGAGUGAUAAGAAAAGGUUUUCUCGGAGAAGAAAAUUUUGUAAUUGUGCAUGAGCAUUUAGUAUGACACCUUGGGAAUGGGGUAAAAUGACCAAAGAACUUCACAUUUUGUAUCCUUGAAUUGCGAUAGGAGAAGAUUGAAAAAAGUCAUAUCUUUCUACCCUUGGGUUACAGUGGGAGAUUGAUGGUACAAAUUUUAUGUCCCAGUGGAUUGAACUUUGACGUUCACAGUGGGGGGCAAUCAGAUUAAGUGCUUCUUUGGAUAUGCCAGCCGAGCAAGAAGGCGUUGUAGCACGUCAGUGAUAAAGCCUUAAUAAGCUUUUACGUGAUGAUAACCUAAGCAUUGAGGAAUCAUGUUCAUGACAUUUUGCAUUCAAAUGUCAUUCAUACACAUCUAGUUAGGAGCAUUUGAUUCGUUCUGAUCAUGUCAUCCUAAUCACUAGGCACAAUUAGGUUCAUAAAAUAGAACAUACAGGUUAUGUUCCCCAGAGAACAGAUCAAUGAAGUUACAGAUCUUAUCUUCCUGUAUUUGGCAGCGGAGGAGAUCGAAGAUAGCAGAUCUUGUCUUCCUGUAUUUGGCAGCGGAGGAGAUCGAAGAUAGCAGAUCUUGUCUUCCUGUAUUUGGCAGCGGAGGAGAUCGAAGAUAGCAGAUCUUGUCUUCCUGUAUUUGGCAGCAGAAGAGAUCGAAGAUAACAGAUCUUGUCUUUCUGUAUUUGGCAGCAGAGUAGCUCGAAGAUGGUGAAUCUUAUCUUCCCAAUACAGUGGAGAAGCAGAUUUAAGCCAUUAGUCCUAUCACUCUAAGCAGUAGUGGAGUAGGUUGAAGAUUACAGAUUCUGUCACCCUAAGCAGUAGUGGAGCAGAUCAAAGAUGGUGAAUCUUAUCUUCCCAAUACAGUGGAGAAGCAGAUUUAAACCAUUAGUCCUAUCACCCUAAGCAGUAGUGGAAUAGAUCAAUGACUAUAGAUUCUGUAUCCCUAAACAGUAGUGGAACAGAUCAAAGACGGUGAAUUUUACCUUCCCAAGAUACUAGGGAAGUAAAUUUAAACCACAAACCUCCCCCCUGAAGUUACAACAGAGUGGAUUGAAGCUACAAGUCUUAUCUUUUUGAAGUUGCAGUGGAAGAGAUCGAAGCAACAAGGCACAAUGGACUGGAGUGAAGCUACUUGAAGAGAAGCGUGAAGAGAAGUCAAGACUGGGCGAGACCGAGCAAAAUUGGUCUUUCUUAGUCUUUGCUCUGUUUUCGUUACACAAAAACGAGAAAAGAGGGGCAGCUGUACAGCCCAAUUUUGCCCGAGCCCAAUUAACAAUAAACCUACCUAGGUCCAACCUCAGCUACCCAAACACAACCAAACCCAAAUCCAAACAGAACCAGACCCAACUAGCCUAAACCCGAGCCUAAUUACAUCAAACCCAAAUGGCCCUAACCCAGCAAACCCGGAGCCCAAUAGCCCAGGCCCAAUUUCAUGAAAAAUAUCUGCCUAGGGUUUCAGAGACUGAAACCCUAGGCGCCGCCCCUUGACUUUUGGCCCUCUGCCAUCGUCGCCACCGCCGUCGGACGUCCCAUCCGCGUCCAUCACCGCCCAUCCACUUGCAUCGCUAGACCUGCAAACAAACAAGAGAAGUAGCAGAAACAAGCAGUAGCAAAUGGGGGAUUUUGUAAUGAAAAAGGCUAUAUAAAAAGCCAUUUUUUUUUUGUAAUGAAGGGGGGGAGAACAAAUGUAAAGAAAAAAUAUAUUGAGAAAUCAAUACAAGAAU